rnacentral:rRNA from 1 species
CAAUAGCGUAUAUUUAAGUUGCUGCAGUUAAAAAGCUCGUAGUUGGAUUUCGGGUGGGAAUGGCCGGUCCGCCGUUUCGGUGUGCACUUGCUACGCCCACCUUGCUGCCGAAAACGUGCUCUUGAGUUCACGCUCGGGACACGGAGUCGGCGAGGUUACUUUGAGUAAAUUAGAGUGUUCAAAGCAGGCCUACGCUCUGAAUACAUUAGCAUGGAAUAACACGAUAGGACUCUGGCCUAUCUUGUUGGUCUGUAGGACCGGAGUAAUGAUUAAGAGGGACAGUCGGGGCAUUCGUAUUUCAUUGUCAGAGGUGAAAUUCUUGGAUUUAUGAAAGACGAACUACUGCGAAAGCAUUUGCCAAGGAUGUUUUCAUUAA